rnacentral:rRNA from 1 species
CAAGCUUUGUCCGGAUUUAUUGGGCGUAAAGAGCGUGUAGGCGGCCAAACAGGUCCCCUGUGAAAACUCGAGGCUCAACCUCGAGAGGUCGGUGGAAACCGUCUGGCUAGAGUCCGGAAGAGGAGAGUGGAAUUCCCGGUGUAGCGGUGAAAUGCGCAGAUAUCGGGAUGAACACCCGUGGCGAAGGCGGCUCUCUGGGACGGUACUGACGCUGAGACGCGAAAGCGUGGGGAGCGAACAGG